rnacentral:rRNA from 1 species
UACGGAGGGUGCAAGCGUUAAUCGGAAUUACUGGGCGUAAAGCGCACGCAGGCGGUUUUUUAAGGCAGAUGUGAAAUCCCCGGGCUCAACCUGGGAACUGCAUCUGAUACUGGAGAGCUUGAGUCUGGUAGAGGGGGAUGGAAUUCCAGGUGUAGCGGUGAAAUGCGUAGAGAUCCGGAGGAAUACCGGUGGCGAAGGCAGCCCCCUGGACGUGUACUGACGCUCAGGCACGAAAGCGUGGGGAGCAAACAGG